AGUGAACGCUGGCGGUAGGCCUAACACAUGCAAGUCGAACGGCAGCACAGUAAGAGCUUGCUCUUACGGGUGGCGAGUGGCGGGCGGGUGAGGAAUACAUCGGAAUCUACUUUUUCGUGGGGGCUAACGUAGGGAAACUUACGCUAAUACCGCAUACGACCUACGGGUGAAAGCAGGGGAUCUUCGGACCUUGCGCGAUUGAAUGAGCCGAGGUCGGAUUAGCUAGUUGGCGGGGUAAAGGCCCACCAAGGCGACGAUCCGUAGCUGGUCUGAGAGGAUGAUCAGCCACACUGGAACUGAGACACGGUCCAGACUCCUACGGGAGGCAGCAGUGGGGAAUAUUGGACAAUGGGCGCAAGCCUGAUCCAGCCACACCGCGUGGGUGAAGAAGGCCUUCGGGUUGUAAAGCCCUUUUGUUGGGAAAGAAAAGCAGCAGGUUAAUACCCCGCUGUUCUGACGGUACCCAAAGAAUAAGCACCGGCUAACUUCGUG
rnacentral:rRNA from 1 species